rnacentral:misc_RNA from 1 species
UACGAACCGGACAAACGUUAUUCGGUAUCACUGGGCUUAAAGAGUUCGUAGGCGGCCAUGCAGGUCAGGUGUGAAAUCCCACAGCUCAACUGUGGAACUGCGCAUGAAACCGCAUGGCUUGAGGGAGAUAGAGGUGAGCGGAACAGAUGGUGGAGCGGUGAAAUGCGUUGAUAUCAUCUGGAACACCGGUGGCGAAAGCGGCUCACUGGAUCUCUUCUGACGCUGAGGAACGAAAGCUAGGGUAGCGAACGGG